rnacentral:rRNA from 1 species
UACGGAGGGUGCAAGCGUUAUCCGGAUUCACUGGGUUUAAAGGGUGCGUAGGUGGAUUGGUAAGUCAGUGGUGAAAUCUCUGGGCUUAACUCAGAAACUGCCAUUGAUACUAUCAGUCUUGAAUACCGUGGAGGUCAGCGGAAUAUGUCAUGUAGCGGUGAAAUGCUUAGAUAUCAAGAGGAACACCUGCGGCGAAGGCGGGUUGCUGGGCCGACACUGACGCUGAGGCGCGAAAGCCAGGGGAGCGAACGGG